rnacentral:rRNA from 1 species
ACGGAAGGCCGCAGUAGGGAAUAUUGCACAAUGGGGGAAACCCUGAUGCAGCAACGCCACGUGUGGGAAGAAGCAUUUCGGUGUGUAAACCACUGUCGUGAAGGAAUAAUGCUGGACCUCGGUCCAGUUGAAUGUACUUUGAAAGGAAGCACCGGCAAACUUCGUGCCAGCAGCCGCGGUAAUACGAGGGGUGCAAGCGUUGUUCGGAAUCACUGGGCGUAAAGGGAGCGCAGGCGGAGAUGCAAGCAGUCUGUACAAUACCGGGGCCCAACCCCGGACCUGCAGUCCGGACUGCACCUCUUGGAUAGUUCAGGGGCAAGCGGAAUUCCUGGUGUAGCGGUGGAAUGCGUAGAGAUCAGGAAGAACACCGAUGGCGAAGGCAGCUUGCUGGGGACUAAUCGACGCUCAUGCUCGAAAGUGCGGGUAGCAAACAGGAUUAGAUACCCUGGUA